GUCAUCCCUCUCGUGUUAACCUCCCAUACCCGCUUGAGCCGGCCACGACGCUGCAACCACCACUGCGGCCCUGCCUAACUGCACGAAUAAAAAAAACUCCGGCAUCUCUCAAUCCUCCGCCACCUCAGCCGAUCUCGAUGCCCACCACUGCGCAGCCCACACGCUCACCAUCGCCGUCGCGUCGUGCCUCGCCUCACCUCACAGCCGUGCGGCCUGGUCGUCGUUGAGCAGGGAGCCAGCGCUAAGCUCGUUGUGCCCGGACUCGACCUCGCCACCAUCACCGCCUCGCCCGGAGCAGCCUUGGCCCACCGCGUCGCGCCAUUGCCUCGUCCGUCGUUGCCAUGGUAAGACGUCUACCUCUCCCCGUGCCCGAUGAGCCCGUGAGCGGUCGAGGCCCACCGGCGAUGCUCUAGCUCCUCCCCUCUGCUGCACGUGCUAGGUGUGGCUAGAGCCCUUCCACCGGCACGGCUCGCCCAGCCCCGGCCCUGCGCUGAACAUGCUCGCUAUCAUGGCUGUCCAGCCUCGACCUCGGCUCCGGCGAGACAUGUGCCGCCCUAGCCGGAGAGCCUGCCUUCCUGUUAGCCGCGGAUGUGAACAGGGUGCAUCCUCGUUUGCCUUGCCUCCUG
rnacentral:lncRNA from 7 species